rnacentral:lncRNA from 1 species
CCACUGUCAAAAGUAACCGGGACUGGCCUAGUAUUCCGACCUUAUAUAUCGGUCUAUGAUAUAAUUCCUCAAUACUGCAUGCUUUGCGGAGAACCGCAAAAUUUUUGGUUUCACCAUGUCGGGAUUUUGCUAGGACAUACACCCGCAGCGUGCCGGGCAGUCUCAAACACUACUAAAGACUUUAUAUAUAUAAAAAAUCUAUACUACUACUACUAGGUUCAGGAAAAGUUUGGAUUGUAAUUUAAAAACUACGCCCAGUACACAGGAACGCUAUAUUAGCCGGUGAUGUUGGCAAACUUUAACUUCUAUCUUAAUUUUUGAC